rnacentral:rRNA from 1 species
CAAGGUCUCCGUUGGUGAACCAGCGGAGGGAUCAUUACCGAGUUUACAACUCCCAAACCCCUGUGAACAUACCACUUGUUGCCUCGGCGGAUCAGCCCGCUCCCGGUAAAACGGGACGGCCCGCCAGAGGACCCCUAAACUCUGUUUCUAUAUGUAACUUCUGAGUAAAACCAUAAAUAAAUCAAAACUUUCAACAACGGAUCUCUUGGUUCUGGCAUCGAUGAAGAACGCAGCAAAAUGCGAUAAGUAAUGUGAAUUGCAGAAUUCAGUGAAUCAUCGAAUCUUUGAACGCACAUUGCGCCCGCCAGUAUUCUGGCGGGCAUGCCUGUUCGAGCGUCAUUUCAACCCUCAAGCACAGCUUGGUGUUGGGACUCGCGUUAAUUCGCGUUCCCCAAAUUGAUUGGCGGUCACGUCGAGCUUCCAUAGCGUAGUAGUAAAACCCUCGUUACUGGUAAUCGUCGCGGCCACGCCGUUAAACCCCAACUUCUGAAUGUGACCUCGGAUCAGGUAGGAAUCCAGU